UUCGUAUUCCGAUUUCGUCGGUCUUCACGUUUUCCUUCCAUCUUCCACUUUCUUCUCCUUUCUUCGUAUUUCGAUUUGGUUUUCUCUUGUCGGUGCCUUCGUUUUCCGCUUCGCUUCACGUUCUCGACUUCAUCAUCUACAGACUUCUCUGCUUUUCGUUAUUCUCCACUUCAAUUGUUGUUCAAGAAAAGAAAAAAAGAUGAAAACUAUGGAAAUAGCGAAGAAUGUUAAAAAUGUUAGGCCGAAGAUACAACUUAACCGAUCAAAGAGAAUGUUGGUGAUUGCAGAAGACUAGAAAAUUGCAAGAGACCUAUUGAUUUGUCCCUAGUUUGAUUGCAACUCUCUCAUCGAGUAAAUGGAUAUUGUUGUAUAUUAGUUUUGUGAAUAUUUCAUGAUAGAAAAGAUCAACGAUAGACUUCACAUUUUAUUUGAUUUUGUUAUAUUGAUAUAGAAAAGGUUGGACCA